rnacentral:miRNA from 1 species
GUGGGAACCAUAAGGGUCUGUGC